rnacentral:lncRNA from 1 species
GACAUACUCCAGGGCUUGAAAAAAAAAGCUGUUGCUGCCCCUACGGGAGGAUGUCUAUCCUCUGUGUGAGUCAUACAUGGAGCACCAUCUCAGGAGGGAAGUAGAGGGCAGGUAUGUGUGGGAGCUCUGAGGCUGAAAGGCAGACAAAAUAUGGGAGGAAGUGGACCAUUGCCAGACCUGAGCUCCAUCAACUUCUAUUAAUGGACAAUGACGCCAUGUUGGCUCCCAGCCAGGCCCCAGUGCACUUAGCCUGGCUGGGUGGAAGCAGGCAUUGCAUCAGAAACAAUGCAGAACUCCAAGGAGUGCUGAGACAUGGGCCUGGAGAUGGCUUCCCGUGACAACGAAGAACUCAUGGCACCCGUGAGGUGACCUCUUGGUUGGGGUGAACUGACCAACACUAAGGAUGAGCAAAGUCCACUGAUCUGCCAAGUCACAGAGCUUUGGCAUUCCGAGCAGCUGGGGUGGACGUUAACCCCUCGCCCUGGAAGCCAUUCGUUUUGUCCCAUUCAGUCAGAGCAGCAGACUCACAAAUGCCUUUACUAAGAUGUAUUGGUCUUUUUCUGAAUUCUCUGCUUUACAGAUUAUCCCAAAUUACACUCAGUAGUUUGCCCUAGCAUGGACUCCAAAUGGCAUUCUAAAGAGAAUCUAGAGAGUGCCCCUAAGAGUGAGCUAGUGUGACAAUAUUCUGUCCUCAAGCUGCUGUGGACAGAUGCUGUGACAUCCGCUCCCUGAGUUAGAGCACAGGAGACACAGGGUCAGGGAGGGGUUGGGGCUGGGUGGACAUAACGUGAACAUUUGAUCUGAUAAAGGCUUUUCAGAGUGGAAAAGCCUACAAAGACAGUGGCUGAAAUGGAGCCUUCUACUGCUAAGCCCAUAAGGACUUUAAAAUGCAGCAUGAAAUAUAGUCCCAGUUGACCAAUGAAACCAGAA